rnacentral:tRNA from 1 species
CCCCUCUUAGCUCAGUUGGAAGAGCGUCAGACUGUAAUGGAUACCAAUCAUCUGAAUGUCGCCCGUUCGAUCCGGGCAGAGGGGA